rnacentral:rRNA from 1 species
GACGAACGCUGGCGGCGUGCUUAACACAUGCAAGUCGAGCGGCGCGGCGAACGGGUGAGUCACGCGUGAGUAACUUCCCCCCUCUCUGGGAUAACAGUUGGAAACGGCUGCUUAUACCGGAUAGUGGGGGAUGACUCGCGUCCUAUCAGCUUGUUGGUUGGGUAGUGGCCUCCCAAGGCGACGACGGGUACCCGGCCUGAGAGGGCGACCGGCCACAUUGGGCUGAGCUACGGCACAAACGCCGACGGGAGGCAGCGGUGGGGAAUAUUGCACAAUAGGGGAAACCCUGAUGCAGCAACGCGCGUGCGGGAUGACGGCCUUCGGGGUGUAAACCGCUUUCAGCCAUGACGCGGUAGUGGCAGAAGAAGCACCGGCUAACUACGUGCCAGCAGCCGCGGUAAUAC